rnacentral:rRNA from 1 species
CCUACGGGAGACAGCAGUGGGGGAUAUUGGACAAUGGGGGGAAGCCUGAUGCAGCGACGCCGCGUGAGUGAAGAAGGAUCUCGGGAUGUAAAGCUCUAUCAGCAGGGAGGAAGAAAUGACGGUACCUGAGUAAGAAGCCCCGGCUAACUAGGUGCCAGCAGCCGCGGUAAUACGUAGGGGGCAAGCGUUAUUCGGAAUUACUGGGUGGAAAGGGAGCGUAGACGGUGUCGUAAGUCUGGAGUGAAAGGCGGGGGCCCAACCCCCGGACUGCCCUGGAAACUAGGUGACUGGAGUGCCGGAGAGGUGAGCGGAAUUCCAAGUGUAGCGGUGAAAUGCGUAGAGAUUAGGAGGAACACCAGUGGCGAAGGCGGCCCACUGGAC